rnacentral:rRNA from 1 species
UACGAAGGGGGCUAGCGUUGCUCGGAAUCACUGGGCGUAAAGCGCACGUAGGCGGAUUGCUAAGUCAGGGGUGAAAUCCUGGAGCUCAACUCCAGAACUGCCCUUGAUACUGGCGGUCUCGAGUCCGGGAGAGGUGAGUGGAACUGCGAGUGUAGAGGUGAAAUUCGUAGAUAUUCGCAAGAACACCAGUGGCGAAGGCGGCUCACUGGCCCGAUACUGACGCUGAGGCACGAAAGCGUGGGGAGCAAACAGG